AAACCAUGAUGAGGACACUCUAAGUGGAGGUCUUUGAAACGUUCCAUACAUCUAAAGAAUGAUUCAUUGGGUCUUUGGCGAAACUAAAAAAUAUUGUUCCUAAGCUU
rfam:Cephalotus follicularis DNA, scaffold: scaffold3261, isolate: St1.